rnacentral:misc_RNA from 1 species
UUUGUUUUGUCGAUUUUGCUUGAUGGAACAAUUUGAAUCAGCCGUAAAAAACUUGGAUAGUUUCCCAAUAGGCUGUGCCCGUGAGGGCUGUAGGGCUCUCAUAUUGCUUUCAGAUAUCAGGUGUCUGUUGUCUGGUGAGAAGAUGGAGGAACUCUUUAGGGCUUCUGUGGGGUCAUUUGUAGCAUCAAGUGGGGGAACCUACAGGUUUUGCCCAACUCCUGACUGCCCUUCUGUAUAUCGAGUUGCUGGUCCUGAGACAUCUAAACCAUUUGUCUGUGGAGCGUGUUUUGCAGAAACUUGUACUGGGUGCCAUUUGGAGCAUCAUCCAUACCUUUCAUGUGAGAGGUAUGCAGCAUUCAAGGAAGAUCCCGACUCGUCAUUGAAGGAGUGGUGCAGGGGAAGAGAGAGCGUGAAAAACUGCCCGGUUUGUGGCUAUACAAUUGAAAAGGUCGAUGGCUGCAACCAUGUUGUUUGCAAGUGCGGGAGGCAUAUCUGCUGGGUCUGUUUAGAGUCCUUUAACAGUGGUCCUGACUGCUAUGGCCACUUNNNNNNNNNNNNNGGCCAUAAGCUUUUAGUUCACUUACAUUUUCUACUUGUUUUCUAGUCUUGUAUACAAGUAUAAAUAUAAUUAUAAACAAUAGUAUCCACGGCCACCACCAUCCUGG